CAAAUGUGACAAAUACGUGUUUUAUUCAAAAUAAUAUACUUUUUAAACUAGUAAACAAAAAACUAUAUUAAUAGGUACAGAUGAAAAAAAUAAACUUGAUACACCUAAAACCUAAGUGUAAUCGUGGAUACGUUAAACAAGUUUAAGUAACAUUGCAAACUGCUGAAUAAAAAAAAAUCAAAGAACACAAACCAGUACAUACUACUCAUUUCUUCGUCAAAGAAAGAAUAGAAAUAGAAUAAGAAUGUUCUCUAAAAACCAUCGCUAAUAUUACUCUUGAAGCUAUUAUGAUUUAAUUUUAAAACAACCAAAUAAACCCGAAUAAAGAAGUUUGAGGAGGAGGAAAAAGUUAGAUGAAAUUGAAAGUUGCAAAAUACAAUAUGAACAAUUAGACAAACUAACAGAUGUUUCUAAUCAAAAUCGUAUUAAGUAUUGUAUACAGUUUGGCCUAAAUAAUGAAAACAAUAAUUUUGUACCAUAACACUUGUCAAAUACAACAUUGGGGAGUCUAACGAAAGCAGUCAAAUAAAUACCUUGAAAUACACGGGAAAAAAUGAACGAAUUCGAUACAGAUUUUUUAGCAACUCCCAUAAUUAGAAGAUCUCCAGACAAUUUAUUAGCAGUGAUUAUUGCAGUUGAUAAUGUAGAAACUACUUAUGUAGUGUACAACAAAUGACAUA